AGUGAACGCUGGCGGUAGGCCUAACACAUGCAAGUCGAACGGCAGCACAGUAAGAGCUUGCUCUUACGGUUGGCGAGUGGCGGACGGGUGAGGCAUACAUCGGAAUCUACUUUUUCGUGGGUAAUAACGGAGGGACACUUACGCUAAUACCGCAUACUACCAACGGGUUAAAGCAGUGGAUCUUCUGACCUUGCGCGAUUCAUUUAGCCGAUGUCGGAUUAGCUAGUUGGCUGGGUAAGGGCCCACCAAGGCAACGAUCCGUAGCUGGUCUGAGAGGAUGAUCAGCCACACUGGAACUGAGACACGGUCCAGACUCCUACGGGAGGCAGCAGUGGGGAAUAUUGGACAAUGGGCGAAAGCCUGAUCCAGCAAUACCGCGUGGGCGAAGAAGGCCUUCGGGUUGUAAAGCCCUUUUGUUGGGAAAGAAAAGCAGCAGGUUAAUAUCUCGCUGUUCUGACGGUACCUAAAGAAUAAGCAACGGCUAACUUCGUG
rnacentral:rRNA from 1 species